rnacentral:rRNA from 1 species
CAGUCGCCACGGGAAUACGUAGGUGGCAAGCGUUGUCCGGAUUUAUUGGGCGUAAAGCGAGCGCAGGCGGUCAAUUAAGUCUGAUGUGAAAGCCCCCGGCUCAACCGGGGAGGGUCAUUGGAAACUGGUUGACUUGAGUGCAGAAGAGGAGAGUGGAAUUCCAUGCGUAGCGGUGAAAUGCGUAGAUAUAUGGAGGAACACCAGUGGCGAAGGCGACUCUCAGGUCUGUAACUGACGCUGAGGCUCGAAAGCGUGGGUAGCAAACAGGAUUAGAUACCCCAGUAGUCCCUGUCUCUUAUAC